ensembl:lncRNA
UGGAUUCCUAACAUGGUUCUGUGGGUCUUGGCAGAGGAUCAUUAUUGUAGGAUAUAGCGCACAAAAUACGGUAGGUGGCGGUACUGCGCCUAUGAGUGAACGGCCAUUAACAAGAAGAAGACAGCACCGGAAGACGCUAAAACUCAGCAGACCUAGAUCUCGCUGUACCGACUACCUAUCGGAGCAGGACAGGUACAUGCUGAUGGAGGAACACUCAGGUAGACUUCACAGGAACCUUCUGGUGUUUUACAGUAAUUCUAGUAAAUUGUGUACUGACUUACGAUUGUGCAGUAAAUCCCUACAAUACUACAUGUUCCUUUUAUUCUGAUAAAGUGCUGAAAUGUGUGUGUGUGUGUGUGUGUGUGUGUGUGAGUGAGAGAGAGAGAGAGAGAGUGUCCUACAAUAAAGUGAUCAAAUGUGUGAAGUUGUAUUGUCGUUCUUGCUGACUCGAGUCAUAUGAAGUUUCUUUAAAACUCCAACAUGCUGAUGUUUCUCCUCAUUUAUACAUCAUACUGCUGUGAUCAUGUGAACUGUUGGAAUAUAGUUAAGUGGAUGUAUUUUAUUUAUUUAUUUUUAAAUAUAUGCUUUUGCAUUAACCAUACAGGUAAGCUGAGCUUUAGAGUAAACUCUGGUGACUUUAAGGAACACAUUAGGAGUUAGUUCAGAACCGGUUCUUUGUAUAAUAACUCCAGUUACAUUGCUUGUAUUUUCCCAGUCUAGAUUAUUCUUAAAUUCCUGCAUUGCUUCAUAACUGAAUCUGUUUUGUUAAAAUUAUUAUUAGUUGUAAUUAAAAGCUGUUGUGUAAAUUAAUUAAUAAAUCUAAAUUCAUAUGUAAGGCUAGCUGGGGAAUCUCAGCCUCCUUUAAACUGUUAAAAUCUGGCAGUGAAGCGUUUUUCUAUGUUAAAUGUAGAAAAGUAUCCACUAUUUCUCCCUCUUUGUGAAAUUUUAUAUUCUAGUGGUUUAAAUUGAUCAAAAAUCUCCCUGCAGUAUUGCAC